GGUCACGACCAAGUCGUGAGCCAAGGCGGUGUUGAUGUGUACGGUGAACGUCGGUUUGACGUUCUCGGCCACCGAGGCCGAUUCAGCGGCGGACGGGUGAGUAAUGCCUAGGAAUCUGCCUGGUAGUGGGGGACAACGUUUCGAAAGGAACGCUAAUACCGCAUACGUCCUACGGGAGAAAGCAGGGGACCUUCGGGCCUUGCGCUAUCAGAUGAGCCUAGGUCGGAUUAGCUAGUUGGUGGGGUAAUGGCUCACCAAGGCGACGAUCCGUAACUGGUCUGAGAGGAUGAUCAGUCACACUGGAACUGAGACACGGUCCAGACUCCUACGGGAGGCAGCAGUGGGGAAUAUUGGACAAUGGGCGAAAGCCUGAUCCAGCCAUGCCGCGUGUGUGAAGAAGGUCUUCGGAUUGUAAAGCACUUUAAGUUGGGAGGAAGGGCAGUAAGUUAAUACCUUGCUGUUUUGACGUUACCGACAGAAUGCAGACCGACCCAAGCGGUAAUGCUUCAGUGGCUACCGAGUACGAUGUACCACUGACCACCGCGCCCGACAGCCCGAGCAAUCUGGCCAUCAAUGCUGAUGGCACCACCCUCACCGGUACCGCACCUGCCGGCACCCGUGUGGAAGUGCAUGAUGCCAACGGCACGUUGAUUGGCAGUGCCAUUGCCAGCGCCGAUGGCAGCUUCAGCAUCGAACUGAAUCCCGCACAAGCCAACGGCGAACUGCUGGACGUGGUGGCCAUCGAUGACGGCGGCGUUUCCUCGCUGCCCGCACAGAUCACCGCACCGGAUGUCACCGCCCCUGCCGCACCGACCGAACUGGCCGUGAGCGCGGACGGCAGCGUUAUCACCGGCCGCGCCGAGCCGGGCAGCACCGUGCGCAUCGUGGCUGCCGACGGCACCGAACUGGGCACUGCCGUGGUCGGCCCGACCGGCGUGUUCAGCCUCAACCUCAACCCGCCACAAGUUGACGGCGAAGUGCUGCAGGCCACCGCGACCGAUGCCGCUGGCAACACAUCGCCAAGCAGCGCAGUCACCGCACCGGAUAUCGACGGGAUCGAUACCACGCCACCCGCAGCCCCGACUGACUUGGUAAUCGGUCUUGCCGGUAGCCAGCUCAGCGGUCGAGGCGAAGCCGGCUACUGAAAACCGACCUGUUUUCCAGGCGCUUGCGCAAUCCUGUGGGAGCGGGCGUGCCCGCGAACACGGGCGCAGCCCGUGCCAACCACCGCAGUGCCUGCUUCGCGGGCUCGCCCGCUCCCACAAGGGAUCUGCAGCGUCAGUCAGAUGGCGGCAAACCGCUCAUCCAGGUAAGCGAUGAUCGCCUUGGACUCAUACAUCCAAGUCACCUUGCCGGCUUCUUCAAUGCGCAGGCAUGGCACUUUCACCCGGCCGCCACCUUCUUGCAGGGCCUGGCGGUGCACCGGGUCGUUCUUGGCGUCGCGCAGCGCCACCGGCACGUUCAAACGGUGCAGGGUGCGGCGGGUUUUGACGCAGAACGGGCAGGCGUGGAACUGGUACAGCGCCAGCCC
rnacentral:rRNA from 1 species